CUGGCAUGAGGAGCAGGUUCCUGUGAUCUAGGAUUGUCCUAUGACAUCAUCAGUACCAGAUAAUGGAUGGAGACGGGGACAAGAUGGCGGAGAGGAUGUUAGAUCUUACCCUAGAGAUCCUCCUCCUGCUUACUGGAGAGGGGAUGUGAC